rnacentral:rRNA from 1 species
UACGAAGGGUGCAAGCGUUAAUCGGAAUUACUGGGCGUAAAAGGUGCGUAGGCGGUUAGUUAAGUCUGUCGUGAAAUCCCCGGGCUCAACCUGGGAAUGGCGAUGGAUACUGGCUAGCUAGAGUGUGUCAGAGGAUGGUGGAAUUCCCGGUGUAGCGGUUGAAAUGCGUAGAGAUCGGGAGGAACAUCAGUGGCGAAGGCGGCCAUCUGGGACAACACUGACGCUGAAGCACGAAAGCGUGGGGAGCAAACAGG